UACGUAGGGGGCAAGCGUUGUCCGGAUUUAUUGGGCGUAAAGAGCGUGUAGGCGGUUUGGUAGGUCCGCUGUGAAAACUCGAGGCUCAACCUCGAGACGCCGGUGGAAACCAUCAGACUAGAGUCCGGAAGAGGAGAGUGGAAUUCCUGGUGUAGCGGUGAAAUGCGCAGAUAUCAGGAAGAACACCCGUGGCUAAGGCGGCUCUCUGGGCAGUAACUGACGCUGAGGAGCGAAAGCGUGGGGAGCAAACAGG
rnacentral:rRNA from 1 species